UGAGCAACCUGCCCUUCUCUUUGGAAUAAGCGUUGGAAACGACGUCUAAUACCGAAUACGACCUCCUUUCGCAUGAUCGGAGGUGGAAAGCUCCGGCGGAGAAGGAUGAGCUCGCGGCCUAUCAGCUAGUUGGUGUGGGUAACGGCCCACCAAGGCGACGACGGGUAGCCGGCCUGAGAGGGUGACCGGCCACACUGGGACUGAGACACGGCCCAGACUCCUACGGGAGGCAG
rnacentral:rRNA from 1 species